UUAAGCGACCAAGCGUACACGGUGGAUGCCCUGGCAGUCAGAGGCGAUGAAGGACGUGCUAAUCUGCGAUAAGCGCCGGUAAGGUGAUAUGAACCGUUAUAACCGGCGAUUUCCGAAUGGGGAAACCCAGUGUGAUUCGUCACACUAUCAUUACGUGAAUACAUAGCGUAAUGAAGCGAACCGGGGGAACUGAAACAUCUAAGUACCCCGAGGAAAAGAAAUCAACCGAGAUUCCCCCAGUAGCGGCGAGCGAACGGGGAGGAGCCCAGAGCCUGAAUCAGCAUGUGUGUUAGUGGAAGCGUCUGGAAAGGCGCGCGAUACAGGGUGACAGCCCCGUACACAAAAGCGCAUGUGCUGUGAGCUCGAUGAGUAGGGCGGGACACGUGGUAUCCUGUCUGAAUAUGGGGGGACCAUCCUCCAAGGCUAAAUACUCCUGACUGACCGAUAGUGAACCAGUACCGUGAGGGAAAGGCGAAAAGAACCCCGGCGAGGGGAGUGAAACAGAACCUGAAACCGUGUACGUACAAGCAGUGGGAGCACAGGUUUACCUGUGUGACUGCGUACCUUUUGUAUAAUGGGUCAGCGACUUAUAUUCUGUAGCAAGGUUAACCGCAUAGGGGAGCCGAAGGGAAACCGAGUCUUAAUUGGGCGUUAAGUUGCAGGGUAUAGACCCGAAACCCGGUGAUCUAGCCAUGGGCAGGUUGAAGGUUGGGUAACACUAACUGGAGGACCGAACCGACUAAUGUUGAAAAAUUAGCGGAUGACCUGUGGCUGGGGGUGAAAGGCCAAUCAAACCGGGAGAUAGCUGGUUCUCCCCGAAAGCUAUUUAGGUAGCGCCUCGUGAACUCAUCUCCGGGGGUAGAGCACUGUUUCGGCUAGGGGGCCAUCCCGGCUUACCAACCCGAUGCAAACUGCGAAUACCGGAGAAUGUUAUCACGGGAGACACACGGCGGGUGCUAACGUCCGUCGUGAAGAGGGAAACAACCCAGACCGCCAGCUAAGGUCCCAAAGUCAUGGUUAAGUGGGAAACGAUGUGGGAAGGCCCAGACAGCCAGGAUGUUGGCUUAGAAGCAGCCAUCAUUUAAAGAAAGCGUAAUAGCUCACUGGUCGAGUCGGCCUGCGCGGAAGAUGUAACGGGGCUAAACCAUGCACCGAAGCUGCGGCAGCGACACUGUGUGUUGUUGGGUAGGGGAGCGUUCUGUAAGCCGUUGAAGGUGUGUCGUGAGGCAUGCUGGAGGUAUCAGAAGUGCGAAUGCUGACAUAAGUAACGAUAAAGCGGGUGAAAAGCCCGCUCGCCGGAAGACCAAGGGUUCCUGUCCAACGUUAAUCGGGGCAGGGUGAGUCGACCCCUAAGGCGAGGCCGAAAGGCGUAGUCGAUGGGAAACGGGUUAAUAUUCCCGUACUUGGUGUUACUGCGAAGGGGGGACGGAGAAGGCUAUGUUGGCCGGGCGACGGUUGUCCCGGUUUAAGCGUGUAGGUGUGUGUUCCAGGUAAAUCCGGUUCACUUUAACACUGAGGCGUGAUGACGAGGCACCACGGUGCUGAAGCAACAAAUGCCCUGCUUCCAGGAAAAGCCUCUAAGCAUCAGGUAACAUCAAAUCGUACCCCAAACCGACACAGGUGGUCAGGUAGAGAAUACCAAGGCGCUUGAGAGAACUCGGGUGAAGGAACUAGGCAAAAUGGUGCCGUAACUUCGGGAGAAGGCACGCUGACACGUAGGUGAAGUGGUUUACCCAUGGAGCUGAAGUCAGUCGAAGAUACCAGCUGGCUGCAACUGUUUAUUAAAAACACAGCACUGUGCAAACACGAAAGUGGACGUAUACGGUGUGACGCCUGCCCGGUGCCGGAAGGUUAAUUGAUGGGGUCAGCGCAAGCGAAGCUCCUGAUCGAAGCCCCGGUAAACGGCGGCCGUAACUAUAACGGUCCUAAGGUAGCGAAAUUCCUUGUCGGGUAAGUUCCGACCUGCACGAAUGGCGUAAUGAUGGCCAGGCUGUCUCCACCCGAGACUCAGUGAAAUUGAACUCGCUGUGAAGAUGCAGUGUACCCGCGGCAAGACGGAAAGACCCCGUGAACCUUUACUAUAGCUUGACACUGAACAUUGAGCCUUGAUGUGUAGGAUAGGUGGGAGGCUUUGAAGCGUGGACGCCAGUCUGCGUGGAGCCGACCUUGAAAUACCACCCUUUAAUGUUUGAUGUUCUAACGUGGACCCGUUACCCGGGUUGCGGACAGUGUCUGGUGGGUAGUUUGACUGGGGCGGUCUCCUCCUAAAGAGUAACGGAGGAGCACGAAGGUUGGCUAAUCCUGGUCGGACAUCAGGAGGUUAGUGCAAUGGCAUAAGCCAGCUUGACUGCGAGCGUGACGGCGCGAGCAGGUGCGAAAGCAGGUCAUAGUGAUCCGGUGGUUCUGAAUGGAAGGGCCAUCGCUCAACGGAUAAAAGGUACUCCGGGGAUAACAGGCUGAUACCGCCCAAGAGUUCAUAUCGACGGCGGUGUUUGGCACCUCGAUGUCGGCUCAUCACAUCCUGGGGCUGAAGUAGGUCCCAAGGGUAUGGCUGUUCGCCAUUUAAAGUGGUACGCGAGCUGGGUUUAGAACGUCGUGAGACAGUUCGGUCCCUAUCUGCCGUGGGCGCUGGAGAAUUGAGGGGGGCUGCUCCUAGUACGAGAGGACCGGAGUGGACGCAUCACUGGUGUUCGGGUUGUCAUGCCAAUGGCACUGCCCGGUAGCUAAAUGCGGAAGAGAUAAGUGCUGAAAGCAUCUAAGCACGAAACUUGCCCCGAGAUGAGUUCUCCCUGAGACUUAGAGUCUCCUGAAGGAACGUUGAAGACGACGACGUUGAUAGGCCGGGUGUGUAAGCGCAGCGAUGCGUUGAGCUAACCGGUACUAAUGAACCGUGAGGCUUAACCUU
rnacentral:rRNA from 1 species